AGAAGGAAUCAAAGAAACCCCAGGUGAAAAUUGGGGCAAAAUUGAGCAGGAGGAAGAAGAAGGAUAAUGGGUACCCCUAAAGAAGAGGCAACAGAUGAAGUUUUCUCUGAGAAUUUAGAGCAGAAGCCGGACCCUGACCCUGCAACCAGCAAAUUAGAGUUAAAAGCUGAUGUUGUUUCUGGUGAACUGCAGAAGAGGCUGAGUCAAUGUGAUAAAGAGAUUAAUGUGUCACAAUCCAAUCAAGAAGCUAUUUCUCUUUCUGGAGUACAAGAUAACCAGUCAGAAAAUGUGCGGA
rnacentral:misc_RNA from 1 species